GACGAACGCUGGCGGCGUGCUUAACACAUGCAAGUCGAACGGAAAGGCCCUGCUUUUGUGGGGUGCUCGAGUGGCGAACGGGUGAGUAACACGUGAGUAACCUGCCCUUGACUUUGGGAUAACUUCAGGAAACUGGGGCUAAUACCGGAUAGGAGCUCCUGCUGCAUGGUGGGGGUUGGAAAGUUUCGGCGGUUGGGGAUGGACUCGCGGCUUAUCAGCUUGUUGGUGGGGUAGUGGCUUACCAAGGCUUUGACGGGUAGCCGGCCUGAGAGGGUGACCGGCCACAUUGGGACUGAGAUACGGCCCAGACUCCUACGGGAGGCAGCAGUGGGGAAUAUUGCACAAUGGGCGGAAGCCUGAUGCAGCAACGCCGCGUGCGGGAUGACGGCCUUCGGGUUGUAUACCGCUUUCGCCUGUGACGAAGCGUGAGUGACGGUAAUGGGUAAAGAAGCACCGGCUAACUACG
rnacentral:rRNA from 1 species